UGUCGUUACGGCGCCAGCUGUUUGUCUUCCCCUGCGGCGGUUCUUUGCUCGCUUGGGGAAACGGUUUUCGCUUUCGCUUCGCUGAAGUUUCGCUGCAUUCAGUUGUUGAUGCCUACGUGCAGGAGGAUGUCGACGUGCCGGGUCUUGCUCGAUGGAGUUGAAGUUGACGUGUACGCUGCCGUGGAUUUUGAACGGGCAGCCCGUUCUCGACAACGGUGACCAAGCGCACAUAACGAAAGAUGGUGAGCGAGUGCACCUGCAGCUGAGAGCGCGGGAGGCGAAUCCGAGGAGAGCGGAAGAGCUCUGGCCCACAGCCAAGGCUGUUUUCUUAAUUAGUAAAUUUAAGGAAUUGAAGAAAGAUGCGAGAUUGGCCUUAAGGAAAAAGAACACACGUAGGAGACAUUGGCAGAUAUAAUCAGCAAAGAAUUUAAUUGUGUUGUGACAGCCGCCCAGGUAGAAAAUAAAUGGCGAAAUUUAGAAAAAAAUUACAAAAAUGCAAGAGCAAACAACUCAAGAUCUGGUGCUGGACGAAAGACUUGCGAGUUUGAAGAGCAGCUGGCUGAAGUGUUCGAGAAGUCUCAUGCAAUAAACCCCCGUUGCCUUGGGGGACCAGGAAAGCUAAGGAGGUCAAG